CUCCCUCUGCUAGAUUAUGUAUUGCAUUGAACUACUGCUGCUAAGUUAACACAAUUCAUGUCACAUGCCAGUGAUAAUAAACCUGAUUCUGACUCUUUGUUUGGUUAAUAAAUCAGGGAAUCAUGCAGCAGUUUUCACUGGAACAGGUUGGCCCUGCAUUCCUAUCUGGCCACUCUACAUCAAGUUUAAAAACAUCCCCGGCUACACUAAUUAACAGAACCAAGCAAAUCUUGUGAAAUACUCUAAACAAAUUAUGCAUGCAACUAUGUGUGUGUGACCAUGAGAUAUGAACAGAGGAUGGGCACGUAGAUGUUCCCAGGGUUGAGUAGGAGCCAAUGAAAUGGCAUUUAUUUAUCUCUUGUGGACCUGUUCUGCUGGUGGGCAAAUCGGAGUGGAUGCAAGUCACUUCCCAGGAAGGAUUUGAUAUGAUUCAUCACCAACCUCUUUAAACACUUCACCAUUAUGGAUGUAAGUGCUACUAGAUGAUAUUCAUUGAAGCAAGUUACCACGUUCUUCUUAGGCACUGGGUAAAAUUGAAGACUACGGAAAGCAUUCAGAACUCUGAGAACAAGGCGAGUCAGUCUUCAUCAAGGAAGCUAAAUGUACUGAGCCUGAAUUGUUGCAGGUGAAGACCCUAGCUGAAUCCUUCAAUUGACUCUGAGCUAUCCAGUUCUAAAUCACAAUAUGUGAUCUCGGUCAAAAUGAAAGGGAGACAUAAGAUGGCUCAGUAAAGAUCCUUUGGGCCACAAUUUUGUUCUGACCUUUUAACCUACUCCAAGAUCAAUCUAAUACUUCCCUUUCAUAUUGGCCUCCCUUUUUCUUUCACCCAUGUGCCCAAGAGCCUCUUAAAUGACCAAAAUUGUAUCUGCCUCUACCACCACCCCGAGCAACAUGUUCCACAUAUCUUCCACCCUCCAUGUUAAAGAACUCUUUGCACCCCCCCCCCCCAUACUUUCCACCAGUUAUCUUUAAAUUAACCCCCUUCCAUUAACCAUUUUUGCCCUGGAGAAAAAGUUUCAGGCUGUCUACAUAAUCUAUGCCUCUUACCAUCUUGUACAUCUCUAUCAAGUGACAAGUGACCUCCCAUCAUCCCUCACUCUGAAGGGAAAAUGAUGGACAAUAUAUCAAGAAUAAAACAGUUUCAGUUCUACCACAAAUCAUCAUUCAGAUCCACCUAUGUUGCCCUACAUAGCUGGCAUCUGAGAUACUGAUUAUCAAAACAAAACAUACUAAAUGCUGGAAAAUCUCAGCAGGUCAGGCAGCAUCUAUGGAAAUGAGUAGAUAGUCACCAUUUUGGGUCAAAACCCUAUCAAAGCCAUGCGAGAUUAAAAAUUUCCUACUGGCCAAUCACCAGACGUAUCUUAAAAGCUAAUACGUUGAUAAUAUAAGUAAUACUUGUUAAUGACAUAGAUGAUGUAAGCAGCUAUCAUUUAAUACAUACUAGAAUAGCACUGGUAACCCAGGACUCAGCCACAUAAGCCCCAAGAGCAACUAUGAACAUGCUGAUUUUUAGUCAUUUUAGAAUAAUACAAUGCAAAGCUGGUUCAAAUACAGCACAUUGUCAUGUUUCAAUUCCUGACCACACUUGAAUAUAGUAACCAUCUACAACAUGGAAAAAUGCAGUACAAGUAA